GUGGGGAAUAUUGCACAAUGGGCGCAAGCCUGAUGCAGCCAUGCCGCGUGUAUGAAGAAGGCCUUCGGGUUGUAAAGUACUUUCAGCGGGGAGGAAGGCGUUAAGGUUAAUAACCUUGGCGAUUGACGUUACCCGCAGAAGAAGCACCGGCUAACUCCGUGCCAGCAGCCGCGGUAAUACGGAGGGUGCAAGCGUUAAUCGGAAUUACUGGGCGUAAAGCGCACGCAGGCGGUCUGUCAAGUCGGAUGUGAAAUCCCCGGGCUCAACCUGGGAACUGCAUUCGAAACUGGCAGGCUAGAGUCUUGUAGAGGGGGGUAGAAUUCCAGGUGUAGCGGUGAAAUGCGUAGAGAUCUGGAGGAAUACCGGUGGCGAAGGCGGCCCCCUGGACAAAGACUGACGCUCAGGUGCGAAAGCGUGGGGAGCAAACAGGAUUAGAAACCCCGGUAGUCC
rnacentral:rRNA from 1 species